rnacentral:misc_RNA from 1 species
GAUGAAGAACGUAGCGAAACGCGAUAAGUAAUGUGAAUUGCAGAAUCCAGUGAAUCAUCGAAUCUUUGAACGCACAUUGCGCCCGCCAGCAUUCUGGCGGGCAUGCCUGUUCGAGCGUCAUUUCAACCCUCGACCUCCCCUUGGGGAGGUCGGCGUUGGGGACCGGCAGCACACCGCCGGCCCUGAAAUGGAGUGGCGGCCCGUCCGCGGCGACCUCUGCGCAGUAAUACAGCUCGCACCGGGACCCCGACGCGGCCACGCCGUAAAACACCCAACUUCUGAACGUUGACCUCGAAUCAGGUAGGACUACCCGCUGAACUUAAGCAUAUCAAUAAGCGGAGGA